GAGCAACUGACUUGUAAUCAGUAGGUCCCGAGUUCGACUCUUGGUGCCGGCACCAAUUAAAAGCCCGUUAUCU
rnacentral:tRNA from 1 species